rnacentral:rRNA from 1 species
AUUGAACGCUGGCGGCAGGCCUAACACAUGCAAGUCGAACGGUAGCACAGAGAGCUUGCUCUCGGGUGACGAGUGGCGGACGGGUGAGUAACGUCUGGGAAACUGCCCGAUGGAGGGGGAUAACUACUGGAAACGGUAGCUAAUACUGCAUAACGUCGCAAGACCAAAGUGGGGGACCUUCGGGCCUCACACCAUCGGAUGUGCCCAGAUGGGAUUAGCUAGUAGGUGGGGUAAUGGCUCACCUAGGCGACGAUCCCUAGCUGGUCUGAGAGGAUGACCAGCCACACUGGAACUGAGACACGGUCCAGACUCCUACGGGAGGCAGCAGUGGGGAAUAUUGCACAAUGGGCGCAAGCCUGAUGCAGCCAUGCCGCGUGUAUGAAGAAGGCCUUCGGGUUGUAAAGUACUUUCAGCGGGGAGGAAGGCGGUGAAGUUAAUAGCUUCACCGAUUGACGUUACCCGCAGAUGAAGCACCGGCUAACUCCGUGCCAGCCGCCGCUGUAA